rnacentral:rRNA from 1 species
UAGGGAAUCUUCGGCAAUGGACGAAAGUCUGACCGAGCAACGCCGCGUGAGUGAAGAAGGUUUUCGGAUCGUAAAACUCUGUUGUUAGAGAAGAACAAGGACGUCAGUAACUGAACGUCCCCUGACGGUAUCUAACCAGAAAGCCACGGCUAACUACGUGCCAGCAGCCGCGGUAAUACGUAGGUGGCAAGCGUUGUCCGGAUUUAUUGGGCGUAAAGCGAGCGCAGGCGGUUUCUUAAGUCUGAUGUGAAAGCCCCCGGCUCAACCGGGGAGGGUCAUUGGAAGCUGGGAGACUUGAGUGCAGAAGAGGAGAGUGGACUUCCAUGUGUAGCGGUGAAAUGCGUAGAUAUAUGGAGGAACACCAGUGGCGAAGGCGGCUCUCUGGUCUGUAACUGACGCUGAGGCUCGAAAGCGUGGGGAGCAAACAGG